rnacentral:rRNA from 1 species
GUGUCAGCAGCCGCGGUAAUACGUAGGGGGCAAGCGUUGUCCGGAUUUAUUGGGCGUAAAGCGCGUGUAGGCGGCCAGAUAGGUCUGCUGUGAAAACUCGAGGCUCAACCUCGAGCUGUCGGCGGAAACCAUCUGGCUAGAGUCCGGAAGAGGAGAGUGGAAUUCCUGGUGUAGCGGUGAAAUGCGCAGAUAUCAGGAAGAACACCUAUGGCGAAGGCAGCUCUCUGGGACGGUACUGGCGCUGAGACGCGAAAGCGUGGGGAGCGAACAGGAUUAGAAACCCUAGUAGUCC